AUUGAACGCUGGCGGCAUGCUUUACACAUGCAAGUCGAACGGCAGCGCGGGCUUCGGCCUGGCGGCGAGUGGCGAACGGGUGAGUAAUGCAUCGGAACGUGCCCAGUAGUGGGGGAUAGCCCGGCGAAAGCCGGAUUAAUACCGCAUACGACCUGAGGGUGAAAGCGGGGGACCGAAAGGCCUCGCGCUAUUGGAGCGGCCGAUGUCGGAUUAGCUAGUUGGUGGGGUAAAGGCUUACCAAGGCGACGAUCCGUAGCUGGUCUGAGAGGACGACCAGCCACACGGGGACUGGGACCCGGCCCAGACUCCUACGGAGGCAGCAGUGGGGAAUUUUGGACAAUGGGGGCAACCCUGAUCCAGCCAUGCCGCGUGCGGGAAGAAGGCCUUCGGGUUGUAAACCGCUUUUGUUCGGGAAGAAAUCCUCUGGGCUAAUACCCCGGGGGGAUGACGGUACCGGAAGAAUAAGCACCGGCUAACUACG
rnacentral:rRNA from 1 species